GACGAACGCUGGCGGCGUGCUUAACACAUGCAAGUCGAACGGUGAACCUCUUCGGAGGGGAUCAGUGGCGAACGGGUGAGUAACACGUGGGCAACCUGCCCCCGGCUCUGGGAUAACUCCAAGAAAUUGGGGCUAAUACCGGAUGUUCACCGCUUCCCGCAUGGGUGGUGGUGGAAAGGGUUUCCGGCUGGGGAUGGGCCCGCGGCCUAUCAGCUUGUUGGUGGGGUAGUGGCCUACCAAGGCGACGACGGGUAGCCGGCCUGAGAGGGUGACCGGCCACACUGGGACUGAGACACGGCCCAGACUCCUACGGGAGGCAGCAGUGGGGAAUAUUGCGCAAUGGGCGGACGCCUGACGCAGCGACGCCGCGUGGGGGAUGACGGCCUUCGGGUUGUAAACCUCUUUCGGCAGGGACGAAGCCCAAGUGCCGGUACCUGCAGAAGAAGCACCGGCGAACUACGUG
rnacentral:rRNA from 1 species